UACGAGGAGGGGUUAACGUUCUUCAACAUUAAAUGGUGCUAAAGGCGUAUGUAGGUUGUAUUAUCAAACAGUAGUUAUAAAAUUUCAAUUAGAAAAAUUAUAAAAAUGUAAUUGAAAAUACUAGAGUGUAAUUGAAGAUAGGAGGAAAUAACUAGGAGUAAGGAAUGAAAUCUUUUUAUACUUGGUAGACAACACUAAAGGCGGAAAGGCAUCGUAUCUAAGUUAAACACUGACACUGAGAUAACCAAAGUAGUGGGGAGCAAAAAAGG
rnacentral:rRNA from 1 species